CGCCUGGUCGCGGGGGACCGCACGAGCCUGCGCAGCUCGCUGUGGGUGCGGGAGGACUCCCGCGCCGAGCUCGGGCCCUGGCAGCUGC
rnacentral:tRNA from 1 species